rnacentral:rRNA from 1 species
GACGAACGCUGGCGGCGUGCUUAACACAUGCAAGUCGAACGGAAAGGCCCUGCUUUUGUGGGGUGCUCGAGUGGCGAACGGGUGAGUAACACGUGAGUAACCUGCCCUUGACUUUGGGAUAACUUCAGGAAACUGGGGCUAAUACCGGAUAGGAGCUCCUGCUGCAUGGUGGGGGCUGGAAAGUUUCGGCGGUUUGGGAUGGACUCGCGGCUUAUCAGCUUGUUGGUGGGGUAGUGGCUUACCAAGGCUUUGACGGGUAGCCGGCCUGAGAGGGUGACCGGCCACAUUGGGACUGAGAUACGGCCCAGACUCCUACGGGAGGCAGCAGUGGGGAAUAUUGCACAAUGGGCGGAAGCCUGAUGCAGCAACGCCGCGUGCGGGAUGACGGCCUUCGGGUUGUAAACCGCUUUCGCCUGUGACGAAGCGUGAGUGACGGUAAUGGGUAAAGAAGCACCGGCUAACUACGUG